CAGCCGCCGCGGGAAUACGAGGGGGGCAAGCGUUGUUCGGAUUUAUUGGGCGUAAAGGGCUCGCAGGCGGUUUCUUAAGUCUGAUGUGAAAGCCCACGGCUCAACCGUGGAGGGUCAUUGGAAACUGGAAAACUUGAGUGCAGAAGAGGAGAGUGGAAUUCCAUGUGUAGCGGUGAAAUGCGCAGAGAUAUGGAGGAACACCAGUGGCGAAGGCGGCAACCUGGUCCAUAACUGACGCUGAGGCGCGAAAGCGUGGGGAGCAAACAGGAUUAGAUACCCCGGUAGUCCCUGUCUCUUAUAC
rnacentral:rRNA from 1 species